rnacentral:rRNA from 1 species
AUGUUGGAUGGCUUUCGGGAGGCAUUGGAGGUUUGUGCUUUGGAGGACUUGGGUUUUGAGGGUGACAUAUUCACAUGGAGGAACCAUAGCAAGGAGCUGAGCAAAUAUAUAUGUGAAAGGUUGGAUCGGGCGACUGCUAAUAGAAGCUGGCGAGAAAAGUUCCCGGAGUACGUGGUCAUCAACGGGAUGCCGAGGCACUCUGAUCACCAGCCCAUCAUUGUUGAUACAAAGGGAAGUGACAAAAGUUGGAAGGGAUGGGACCGAGGUUUCCAGUUCGAAGCCCGAUGGCUACAGGAAGAGGGGUGCGAAGAGGUGAUUAGGCAGGCGUGGGAGAGAAGUUGGGCUAAUAGGGACGGCGGGGUAGCACAUGCGCUGAAGGAGAUAGCGGGUAAGAUGAGGAAGUGGGACAAGGAGGUGGUUGGAGAACUAGAAGGAAGACUGAAGAAGGCCAAAGCUGACUUGGAGAGAUGCAUGAAGGAGCCGGUAUCCCAUGAAAAGAUUGCGGAGGAAGCCAACCUUAGAUGUUUGGUACAUGAUCUUGAGGAGAAGAAGAAUACGAUGUGGAAGCAAAGAGCCCAUGUGUGGUGGCUCUUGGAGGGGGAUAGGAAUACUCGCUUUUUCCACAUGAUGGCAUCCGUGAGGAAGAAUGCGAAUAAGAUCAAGGAGCUCAGGAGGGAGGAUGGGAUCUUUUCACGUCCACUACGGGCAACCGUGUCAAUGAGCGUAUCGACAAGUACCCUGUACACGCCGCUUAGAUUCCUCCUGAGUCUGUCGAACACGCGUCGUCUCCGCUUCUUCCCCAAAUCGCCGGCUGCAGCUUCCCGUCUCUCUUUGUUCCUCGAGGAACUCGACCUAGUCCGACCUCCCCAUGCCAUCAAUGGCUCGGGUGACCGCCUCCACGGCAACGACGCCGUACGGUCGCGCGGCUGCUGCUUCCUGUUCCUCUGUCCUCACAACGUCAACGGCCCCGGCUCCGGCGACCGGCGCCACGACGGCGAUGUCGUAUGGUUCCGCGGCGUGCAGUCCGGACGUGGGGCGUCCCAGCUGUUCUUCGCGGCGGAGGCCUACAGGCGGGGAAGAAGGGCACGCUGUCGCGGUGGAGGACUCGCGACUGGUACCAGGGCAUCCAGGGAGUCCGGAGCGUGCUCGACGCCGUCUGCAGUACUUCUAGGGGAUGAGUAUGAGCUGCCCUCUUCGUGUCAUGUUGCAUCUGGGACUAUGGCGACACACUCUUCAUUCAGAUCAUGUGAGGUGAGCUUCUCUGUAGCUCAGUAA